rnacentral:rRNA from 1 species
CCCUUAGAUGUUCUGGGCCGCACGCGUGCUACACUGAGUAAAUCAAUGGGUAAGGGAACACGAAAGUGCAACCUAAUCUUGAAAUUUGCUCGUGAUGGGGAUCGACGGUUGCAAUUUUCCGUCGUGAACGAGGAAUACCUUGUAGGCGCGUGUCAUCAUCACACGCCGAAUACGUCCCUGCCCUUUGUACACACCGCCCGUCGCUCCUACCGAUUGAGUGAUCCGGUGAGGCUCUGGGACCUGGACGGAAAGAGCGUUUCGCUUGUUCUGUUUGGGAAACUUGGUCGAACCUUAUCAUUUAGAGGAAGGAGAAGUCGUAACA